UAGUACUUAGUGCAGCAUCGACAUGAUCAGACAUCAGAGGUGUUUAAAAUGUUGAGGUUGAAAAAUGAGAGGUUUUUUUCAGGCUUAUUUUUGACGAAAACCGAGCUCAAUUGCCGAUAAACUGACCGAUGUCAUUUGCUACAUUUGUCUAAUUAGUGACACUGACUAGUAAAUUAAACACUAAUGUCAAUGUCACCAUAGUAAGCAAGCGUAGACGUUUCAUGUAGACAGCCGUCAAUGUCUAUGACAUUGAAUUAAAUUUUAAUAAAAAAUUGAGCAAAAAUUUGGAAAAUCUGAUAAAAUCAACAACGGUACCAUAUGUUAGAACGUUGCCAAAAUAGUAUUAGUAAAAGUCUGAAGAAAAUUCAUAAAAAAUAGCACUUUUUCUACCCAAAGUACCCAGUCUCGAUUAGACCAACUUAAAUAAAACUGUUUUCUUAGACCGGGCCACCCUGUAUGACUUAACUUAAGGUUAGGAAUACCGAACUAAACAGAAUAAGCCUACCGUCCAACCUGCAUCUACUUGAACUGCUUGAAGUAAUCAAUAUUACCUACUUCCAUUUAAAGCCAUGGAUUUCCGUCUGACUAUAGGCAACUUUAAAUACAAGCGGGCGAACGUUAGCCAUUAAAUAUGAAUAUUUGAAAAAACAUAAUUUUUCUACAUAAAUAAAUCUAUGUGUCAGCA